UUGGACCUUGUGCCGUUCCGAGUGCUUGGGGAUGCAACAAAACAGUGCAUCUUCGGAGAAGAGUACUACAAAAAGUCUGAUGCACAGCACAAAAAAGACACAACUGCAGACUGGCAAGCCAUCAAAAAGAAAAGGCUGCAGCUGCAGGGAACUAAAAAGAAAGGAUGUCGAGCCGUAAUGAACUUCAAGUACAUUGAACUGUAUCCCAAAAGCAAGGUUGAGCUGCCCCAGCCAUGUGGACGGAUAAAAAAGAAUAACAUGAAGGCCGACACAGCGAGGGAGUUGGAAGAAGAUCUCCGAUGUGGGGAAAGUAUUGAUACUGAGAAAAGAAUAUAUAUAGCAAUUUCAGACUUUUGUGUGCAUACCAACCAUGGUUUUGGUGAAAUUGAAGCAUUCAGCCAAACUGUCGACAAAGAUGUAGUACUGCGUAUCCAUGACCUUGUGCGAGAGGGUAUCACAUCUGUGUCGGACAUAGAUAAAUGUCUGCGGUACUAUGUGCAUGAUGUGCUUUUUGCCGAAAAAGAAAAACCGAACAGCAGCAGCAGGGCAUACUUCCCAACACAUGCAGACAUCAACAAUCAUGUGCAAGCUGCACUUAAGAAAGACCGGUUCAAUACAGUUGACCAAGAAAAUGCUGCUAUUUUAACCAAAAAGAUUAGGACAGAGCAGCCAGAAACGCACGUCUUUUAUAGACCACAUUCAGCAGGAAGCUCUGAGAAACCUUGCAUUGUCACUGACAAUGUCGAAGAGAUGGUGGCCAGUGAAUGUGAACAGACACUUCUUUUCUGUUAUCAGACAAAGUUUAUGAAAGAGAUGAUUGUCAAAUAUGGCACUUCUGUUGUCUGUUUGGAUGCCACGCAUAAAACAAGU
rnacentral:lncRNA from 1 species